rnacentral:rRNA from 1 species
AGAGUUUGAUCAUGGCUCAGAAUGAACGCUGGCGGCGUGCCUAACACAUGCAAGUCGAGCGAGAAAUCACACUUCGGUGUGAGAGUAGAGCGGCGCACGGGUGAGUAACGCGUGGAUAAUCUACCCAUGGAUUGGGGGUAACCCUGCGAAAGCGGGGCUAAUACCUGAUAGUCUGGUCAUUAUAUAGAUGAUCGGUAAAGGUGGCCUCUGAUACAAGCUACUGUCCGUGGAUGAGUCCGCGUCUCAUUAGCUGGUUGGUGGGGUAAUGGCCUACCAAGGCGACGAUGAGUAGCUGGUCUGAGAGGAUGAUCAGCCACACUGGGACUGGAACACGGCCCAGACUCCUACGGGAGGCAGCAGUGGGGAAUAUUGGGCAAUGGGCGCAAGCCUGACCCAGCAACGCCGUGUGAGGGAAGAAGGUUUUCGGAUCGUAAACCUCUGUCAGAAGGGAAGAAGUGGCAGAUAUUUAAUAUAUAUUUGCUUUGACGGUACCUUCAGAGGGAGCACCGGCUAACUCCGUGCCAGCAGCCGCGGUAAUACGGAGGGUGCAAGCGUUAUUCGGAAUCACUGGGCGUAAAGCGCGCGUACGUUGCGUGGUAAGUCAGAUGUGAAAGCCCCCGGCUCAACCGGGGAACUGCAUUUGAAACUGCCAUGCUUGAGUACGACAGAGGGUGGCGGAAUUUCCUGGUGUAGGAGUGAAAUCCGUAGAUAUCGGGAGGAACACCCAGUGGCGAAAGCGGCACCUGGGUCGAUACUGACGCCUGAGUGCGAAAGCGUGCGGUA